CAGUAGCCGCGGUAAUACGAAGGGGGCUAGCGUUGCUCGGAAUGACUGGGCGUAAAGGGCGCGUAGGCGGAUGGCACAGUCAGAUGUGAAAUUCCCGGGCUUAACCUGGGGGCUGCAUUUGAUACGUGUUGUCUAGAGUGAGGAAGAGGGUUGUGGAAUUCCCAGUGUAGGGGUGAAAUUCGUAGAUAUUGGGAAGAACACCGGUGGCGAAGGCGGCAACCUGUCCUUGACUGACGCUGAGGCGCGAAAGCGUGGGGAGCAAACAGGAUUAGAUACCCCGGUAGUCCCUGUCUCUUAUACA
rnacentral:rRNA from 1 species